GUUACUUGUCCGACAUAAUUUUGCUAUUUGUUCUAAGUUGCACUCUGCUGUAAUAUGCUCUACUUUAUUAGUUUACUCAAACACCAGAUGAUUUUACUCAUCACAGGGAGAGCACUGUUACUCAAUGGGUUGAUCAGACUAUAUGCCCAUGUGUCUAGUUAACCCAUCAAGUUGCAUUGCACCCUACUUUUGAUUCUACUCUGUCUGAUGCCAGACAAUUUUACUUGUCAAGGGGAGAGUCAAUG